GACAGAGGCCUCAAGCGUUAGGCGGAAUCACUGGGCUUAAAGCGUGUGUAGGCGGAUCGUUAAGUGCCUUGUGAAAUCCCACGGCUUAACUGUGGAACGGCUGGGCAUACUGGCGGUCUUGAGCCAUCUAGGGGCGACUGGAACAAACGGUGGAGCGGUGAAAUGCGCAGAUAUCAGGAGGAACACCGGUGGCGAAGGCGGGUCUCUGGGUAGUAACUGACGCUGAGGAACGAAAGCGUGGGUAGCGAAUAGG
rnacentral:rRNA from 1 species